rnacentral:lncRNA from 1 species
UGCUGUAGGCCAAAGUAAGAUCCCAGGGGUUAGCUGUGAUGGGGUCUAGGUGAGCAGAGGUUUGGCUUCAGCCUUGAGCUUCAGCUUCAGGUGCCUAAAGAAUUUUCAGCAGAGCUCUGUAAUGGGUUAUCAGUUGCUGAUUUCACUGUUAAUAAAGUAGUGUUUGACAUCUAUAUUUCUAUUACCCUUAUAUGUAUAAUAAGUGACUUUUGUAUGCUCUUCAUAUAUUUUUGAAGGAAAGAACUCCUGCUAUAUUCAUCUUUAUUUCUAGCAGAUUACACACUAGGCCAUUAAUAUGUUUAUUGAAUUUUACCAAAAGAGAAGAGCUAAGUGACUUUCUCCCUCUCUUAGGUGUUUCUCAGCUUUCCUCACUGCCAGCAAAAAGAUCGGUUUCUGUGCGCCUGCUAAGUUAGUUACUGCAGAUCAGGCAUCUGCUUUCCAGCUUUCAAAAUUGUUGCUCCAUUCUCUCCACUUUGUCCUACAGAUUUAUGCCUUUAAAAAUAAAAAUAAUUUACCUGUUCUUUUAGUGGUUUUCUUUGGAGUGGAUGGAUGUUGGGAGAGGAAGAUUGAAGUAAAUAUGUACAUGUGAUGUGUAUUUGUGGUUGUGUGCCCGUGUUCUCUUACUAUUAUUUUCAGGAUUCCUUUUACCAUAUGGCCUCAGCACUUUUGAUUAUUUUAUAAAUGCAUGAGGUGACACAUUGGUUUCUUUAAAGCCAUUUUUACACAUACAUCCCUUUUAGGGUUAUAAUUCAUGUGAAUUUAGAUAAUGAGGUAAUUGAGUUUAAUGACUGUAGCAGUGAUUCAGGAAGGAGAAGAUCUCAAAUUAUUUAUAAUAAUAAUUGAUACUAAUACUUGUAUGGUAUUACCAAGGCAA